AGUUUGACUUCUUAUUGUGGCAAAAAAAUACAUGUGUAAGCUUAUGUUAUUAUUAAUUAUUGUCAUUUUAUGUUUGAGCAUCAUAUUAUUUCAUGUUAAGAAUACCUAAAUUAUAUUCUGUUGUUUAAUAAUUGCUUAGACAUGUUUUUUAUGUUGAUUGGCCGUUGAAGAGAAGCAGGAAGUGAUUUUAGUUUUGAUUUAUGUUGAUAGGUUCUGAUUGGCUGUUGAAGAGAAGCAGGAAGUGAUUUUAGGUUACGAGGAGAGUUGUGUUCUCGAACGUGCUGCUGUGCAGACGUCUUUUUUCCCCCUUUAAAUCAAACGGUAUUUAAAGGUUUCCAUCUCUCCUUUUGCCGUUCGUAAAGUAGAGCUAGCCACUAAAAACAACGACCCCUCAAUUUACAAAUGCAUCUCUAAAACUUUGUUUUGUAGAAAAACACAUGCGAUUGCAUUUCCCAAAAAAUGUGAAGCUCAGCUAAUUAAAAAAAAACAAUUUCAACAUCCAAUUAGAGCUCAAAAGGCAAAUUUGCUUCAUUAUGCGCCAAUCUUCAAAAAAUCUUUUUUCCAGCAAUACACGUUUCGUGAAGACUGACCCAAUUGUUUCGGAGAUAUAAGGAAGGUGGCCACGCCCCACUUUAACCCAAAAACGUCAACAUUCGGUGGACUGUAGCUGAGGAAUUAAUCUACCUGCGAGGGGAUGUUCCUCCUCUGGCCCGAGGUAUUCCACACUGCUGACAGUGAGGUUUGAGUUCAAAGGUCCCCCGAAACCGCCAAGCAGGAGUGUUCCGUCUGAACAGCAACCCUGGCUGGAGCAGUUUGGGUUGUGGUAGAGAAGGCCACUGGAUAAUGCUACAUCUGUUCACGGAGACAAGUGGGAACCGGAGGGCUUGAAGAUGCGGCCCAGUGUGGCCAGCUUGCUGUUCCGUCUGAUGGGGGGAGUGUGGACGCCGCUCACGAGGCAGCCUGUCCUGAGCACCAUCUGCUGGUCCAACACAUCUGCUGAUCACAAGAAGUGUGCAAAGAAAUUCAAGACCGAAGAUGCUGAGUGAGCUACCACACCCCGCUGAAACAGCUCGUCAGCACCUUUGAGAGAAUUCGACCCUCUUGCGUGUAAGCAUCCAGACGGUGAGGCAAGCGACAGCAAUCUAUUUGACUGUAUUUGGCUGCUGUGGUGUCUGGUCGAGAUGGAGUCAUUCAUCGCUUUCAUCUGUACUUUAGUGUCAGUAAACCUCUCGUUCGAACUUGUCCCUCACACUUGUGAGGACCGCACGGGUUCACAAGUCCUCUUGAAAAAGCACUGAGCCAAGUGAAGCGGAAAUCAUGUUGUUUACGAAAUAUGCUCCUCACCUGGAAGUGGAGACUGGUCUGAUGUAGACCCUUUUCGCUGAUGUAAUUUUAACCACAAUAGUUAGUUUCCGGCGCUAUAUUCGAGGACCAGCACAUAAAACGGGAAAAGGAUUCUCGGUCGAUUUACGUUGAGUUUCCAAUAUUCAUUCAUUCAUUCAUCUUCCGAGCCGCUUGAUCCUCACUAGGGUCGCGGUGGGUGCCGGAGCCUAUCCCAACCGUCUUUGGGCAGUAGGCGGGGGCCACCCUGAAUCGGUUGCCAGCCAAUCGCAGGGCACACAGAAACGAACAACCAUUCGCACUCACACUCACACCUAGGGACAAUUUGGAGUGUUCAAUCAGCCUGCCAUG